rnacentral:rRNA from 1 species
GACGAACGCUGGCGGCGUGCCUAAUACAUGCAAGUAGAACGCUGAAGAGAGGAGCUUGCUCUUCUUGGAUGAGUUGCGAACGGGUGAGUAACGCGUAGGUAACCUGCCUGGUAGCGGGGGAUAACUAUUGGAAACGGUAGCUAAUACCGCAUAAAAUUGAUUAUUGCAUGAUAAUUAAUUGAAAGAUGCAACUGCAUCACUACCAGAUGGACCUGCGUUGUAUUAGCUAGUUGGUGAGGUAACGGCUCACCAAGGCGACGAUACAUAGCCGACCUGAGAGGGUGAUCGGCCACACUGGGACUGAGACACGGCCCAGACUCCUACGGGAGGCAGCAGUAGGGAAUCUUCGGCAAUGGGGGGAACCCUGACCGAGCAACGCCGCGUGAGUGAAGAAGGUUUUCGGAUCGUAAAGCUCUGUUGUAAGAGAAGAACGGGUGUGAGAGUGGAAAGUUCACACUGUGACGGUAUCUUACCAGAAAGGGACGGCUAACUACGUG